rnacentral:rRNA from 1 species
GGGGAAUAUUGCGCAAUGGGGGAAACCCUGACGCAGCGACGCCGCGUGAGCGAAGAAGGCCUUAGGGUUGUAAAGCUCUGUUUUAGGGGACGAAAGACUAGAGGAGUAACUGCCUUUAGAGUGACGGUACCCUAAGAGGAAGCCCCGGCUAACUACGUGCCAGCAGCCGCGGUAAGACGUAGGGGGCGAGCGUUGUCCGGAAUUACUGGGCGUAAAGAGCACGUAGGCGGGACAAUAAGUCAGGUGUGAAAGACCGGGGCUCAACUCCGGGGUUGCACAUGAAACUGUUGUUCUUGAGGGCAGGAGAGGGAAGCAGAAUUCCUGGUGUAGCGGUGAAAUGCGUAGAAAUCAGGAGGAAUACCAGUGGCGAAGGCGGCUUUCUGGACUGACCCUGACGCUGAGGUGCGAAAGCGUGGGUAGCAAAC